rnacentral:tRNA from 1 species
GAGGGUAUAGCUCAAGUGGUAGGGCGCAUGCUUAGCAUGCAGGAGGUCCUGGGUUCAAUCCCCAGUGCCUCCU